rnacentral:sRNA from 1 species
UGUUGAAUUGUCUUCAUCGUCUCCUAUUCAGAUUCUAAUAGAAUACUUAAC